AGCGUAGGCGGAGCCGUAAGUCGGAAGUUUAAUACCCAGGCUUAACCUGGGACCUGCUUCUGAUACUGCGGCCCUUGAGUAAGGAAGAGGGAGAUGGAAUUCCAGGUGUAGCGGUGGAAUGCGUAGAUAUCUGGAAGAACACCGGCGGCGAAGGCGGUCUCCUGGUCCUAUACUGACGCUGAGGCUCGAAAGUUAGGGGAGCAAACAGGAUUAGAUACCCUGGUAGUCCUAACCGUAAACUAUGGAUACUAGAUGUUGGGAGAGUCAAUCUUUCCAGCGUCGUCGCUAACGCAUUAAGUAUCCCGCCUGGGAAGUACGCUCGCAAGGGUGAA
rnacentral:rRNA from 1 species